rnacentral:rRNA from 1 species
GACGAACGCUGGCGGCGUGCUUAACACAUGCAAGUCGAACGGAAAGGCCCUGCUUUUGUGGGGUGCUCGAGUGGCGAACGGGUGAGUAACACGUGAGUAACCUGCCCUUGACUUUGGGAUAACUUCAGGAAACUGGGGCUAAUACCGGAUAGGAGCUCCUGCUGCAUGGUGGGGGUUGGAAAGUUUCGGCGGUUGGGGAUGGACUCGCGGCUUAUCAGCUUGUUGGUGGGGUAGUGGCUUACCAAGGCUUUAACGGGUAGCCGGCCUGAGGGGGUGACCGGCCACAUUGGGACUGAGAUACGGCCCAGACUCCUACGGGAGGCAGCAGUGGGGAAUAUUGCACAAUGGGCGGAAGCCUGAUGCAGCAACGCCGCGUGCGGGAUGACGGCCUUCGGGUUGUAAACCGCUUUCGCCUGUGACGAAGCGUGAGUGACGGUAAUGGGUAAAGAAGCACCGGCUAACUACGUG